rnacentral:lncRNA from 1 species
CGCCCCCCACCAAGGCUAUAGCCCACCCGUUUUUUGGCCAUUUUUCCGCUGGGGGGUUUUGGCACCACGACCUUCGGGCGCUUAUUUUUGGGCGCGGCUUUGCCCGCGGCUUAUUUUUGGUGCCCCGAGGCCCUGCGCAAAGUCUCGCCCCAUUCCGAGUCCGGCGGACGAACUUCGCCCGCGCCCCCCACCAAGGCUAUAGCCCACCCGUUUUUUGGCCAUUUUUCCGCUGGGGGGUUUUGGCACCACGACCUUCGGGUGCUUAUUUUUGGACGCGGCUGUGCCCGCGACUUCCCGUGGGCACCCCGAGGCCCCUCGCAAAGUCUCGCCCCAUUCCGAGUCCGGCGGACGAACUUCGCCCGCGCCCCCCACCAAGGCUAUAGCCCACCCGUUUUUUGGCCAUUUUUCCGCUGGGGGGUUUUGGCACCACGACCUUCGGGCGCUUAUUUUUGGGCGCGGCUUUGCCCGCGGCUUAUUUUUGGCGCCCCGAGGCCCUGCGCAAAGUCUCGCCCCAUUCCGAGUCCGGCGGACGAACUUCGCCCGCGCCCCCCACCAAGGCUAUACCCCACCCGUUUUUUGGCCAUUUUUCCACUCGGGGGUUUUGGCACCACCACCUUCGGGCGCUUAUUUUUGGACGCGGCUGUGCCCACGACUUCCCGCGGGCACCCCGAGGCCCCUCGCAAGGUCUCGCCCCAUUUCGAGUCCGGCGGACGAACUUCGCCCGCGCCCCCAACCAAGGCUAUACCCCACCCGUUUUUUGGCCAUUUUUCCGCUGGGGGGUUUUGGCACCACGACCUUCGGGCGCUUAUUUUUGGGCACGGCUUUGCCCGCGGCUUAUUUUUGGCACCCCGAGGCCCCUCGCAAAGUCUCGCCCCAUUCCGAGUCCGGCGGAUGAACUUCGCCCGCGCCCCCCCACCAGGCUAUAGCCCACCCGUUUUUUGGCCAUUUUUCCGCUGGGGGGUUUUGGCACCACGACCUUCGGGCGCUUAUUUUUGGGCGCGGCUGUGCCCGCGACUUGCCGCGGGCACCCCGAGGCCCCUCGCAAAGUCUCGCCCCAUUCCGAGUCCGGCGGACGAACUUCGCCCGCGCCCCCCACCAAGGCUAUAGCCCACCCGUUUUUUGGCUAUUUUUCCGCUGGGGGGUUUUGGCACCACGACCUUCGGGCGCUUAUUUUUGGAUGCGGCUGUGCCCGCGACUUUCCGUGGGCACCUCGAGGCCCCUCGCAAAGUAUCGCCCCAUUCCGAGUCCGGCGGACGAACAUCGCCCACGCCCCCUACCAAGGCU